UAGCAAAAGCUCUAAGACUGUGAAUGUG
rnacentral:piRNA from 1 species